UAUCCAAGUAGGUUGCAAGUUCCGGGUUUGCACUCCUUAUCUCAUCCAUGUACCGGUCAAAAUCGUAAAGUGUAUGAGCAAAAGCAGCACCUUUCACCAAGUACAAGAGAUGCUUCCCUUUAUACUUUUUGACAAUGUUCUGUUGAAGGUGAUAAUAACAUAUUCCUCGGGUAGCCCACGGAAACAACUUAUCACAUGCAUUCUUAAUGCCCGUGUGCCGGUCAGAGACUAUCACCAGAGGAUACUCAUCAGAUACACAACUCGCCAAUUUUUUGAAAAACCACUCCCGAGAUUCAUCAUUUUCACCAUCAACGAUCGCAAAAGCCAAUGGAAAUAUCUGAAAAUUACCAUCUUGUGCGGUGCGGCUGCAAUUAACAUAACACCUUCAUACUUUCCACUUAGGUGAGUCCCAUCCACCACAAUGACCGGUCUCUGAUACUGAAAACCUCGGAUUGAAGCUCCAAAGGAGAGAAAUAGAUACUUAAAUCUAUUCAGAGAAUCAAGUUCUAGACCAGUGAUAGAACCCGGAUUUGCUAAGGAGAUUUGCUCCAAAUAUGAAGGCAGUCGCUCAUACCCAUCUUCCGCUGAUCCUCUCACCAAUUCUUGCUCAUAUAACAAUGCUUUGUAUGAAGUGGUGUAAUCAAGUGUCAUGCCAAACAUGUUCUUCAUUGCAUCUUUGAUAUGCUGCGGAUUCAACCCAUCAAUUAUUCCAACACGAUCUAUGAAAAGCCUACCAACAUACUUCGGAGUACAGUGUUUCCGCUGGGCGAUUCUAUCUCCCACAGAACAUGUAUGAGUUUCCACAUACUUGGUUACCCAAAAAGUGUUUGUCCCAUGUUUCACACUUGCUCUGAUCUUCCAUCCACAACCAUUAACCCGACAUGUUGCCACAAGGAGAGUUUUCGUUGACUUGUAUAUUCUGAAGGAGAACUUACGCCUCACCGCUGUCAACCGCAACUCUGAAACAAAUGCAUCCUUACUAGCAAACAUCUGGUUGACAUAGAUCCUGCUACCAUACGAUCUUCCUCCUUCACUACCAUAUGUCCCUUUGAAAUCUUCAAAACACAUAUCAUCAUCUUCUUCCUCAUCUUCAUCCUCAUCUUUAACCUUCCCAUACUCACUGUAAUCCUCAGCAUCAUCAAUCGCUUCAGCAACAACAAGGAUAUCAGCAUCCUCGUCCCCAUCAUCCUCCUCCCCAUCAUGAUUUUCAUCUUCAGCCAUAUCGUCAUCAUCUUCAUCCCCUUCAUCACCUUUAUUCCCUUCAUAAGCUUCAUCCCAUUCAUCAUCCUCUUCCCCUUCCUCUGAAACAGCUCUCAUCUUGCUAAGGCUUGAUACACAAAGACAUACUACAUGCGUUUUAGCUAUCUCGAGCAAGUUCUGAACUUGUCUAUCACUUGUAACAUGAAUAUGAGGGGUGUCUGAAGCCAUCCGUUGCAUCAUUGCCUCUGGUAAUGAGUACGCUAACUGCACAGACUCUGUGUUCAUGUCCAGGUUAUAAUCUUUUUGAGCCAUUGCAACAUGUUCAUCAUGUGUCGAACCUUCACUCAAAAAGAACAGUCUCGCUCCUUUGAACUUAUCAACCACAAAAUUCCAACAGCCAUCUUUCAACAAUCAUUCCCCAUACACUGCAUGUAACUGACGAUCCAUCUGAAAAAAACAAAACAAAACACAUUAGCAAACAUAGAACAUGUAUGAGUUAAAAGCACAUUAGCUAUAAACUUUAAUUAACAUUAAUGUUGGUAACCUAAUAAAUAUCACCAAUUAAAUUAUAAAUUUCAUUCAGUAGUCCAAAUAUUCAUUAAUAAACAUGAAUUAACAAGAAAAUGUUAAAAAUUCUUUAUAGUUUUAGAGAAAAUGCAAGUUUAUUAAACAUUGACGCAUAGGACAUCCACAAAGGUCGUCUAGUAGACUUCCAGAGAAGUCGUCAAUUUAGGUCAUUUUUGCAUUUAAAAUUUUACAAAGGACGACUUUCAUAGAAGUCGUCUCUACACCAGACUUCUUUGGAAGUCUUCCUUUGUAAAUAUUGGCAUACUUUUGUUUUAAAAAAAAUCUCGGGAAACCCAGGUUAGUUUUGCAAUUGGAAAAUAAAACUUAAAUAUUUAAGUCUUCUAGACGACUUACACGGAAGUGGUCCACCAGACGACUUACAUGGAAGUCGUCCAAGAUAACAAAGGUUUGACCAGAAUCUCGGAAUAAAAUCCUCGACGACUUCUCUGUAAGUUAUCUGGCGGACGACUUCCGUGUAAGUCGUCUAGAGUAAAUUAAAUAUUUAAGUUUUAUUUUCCAAUUGCAAAACUAACCUGAGACGACUUCCAUGUAAGUCGUCUCGUUAUAUUAAAAUAUUGAAUUUUUGAUUUUCUACUGGACGACUUCCAAGUAAGUCGUCAAGGGAAAGUCAAAUUUCUGACACAAUUCGGUCAAUUGCAAAACUAACAUGUUUAUCCCAGACGACUUCCGUGGAAGUCGUCUUUGGGUUUCUCGAGAUUUUUUUUUAAACAAACAAAAAUGGACGACUUCAAUAUAAGUAGUCUCUAAAAAUAGAUUUAAAAGUCAAUUGCAAAAUUAACCUCUCCUUUGACCAGACGACUUCCAGGGAAGUCGUCGACGCGAAGAAGACUUACCCAGAAGUCUUCUUCGCGAACAGAUCUGGAUAAAAACUCGAUUUCCAGAACAUGUAUGAGUUUCCACAUACUUGGUUACCCAAAAAGUGUUUGUCCCAUGUUUCACACUUGCUCUGAUCUUCCAUCCACAACCAUUAACCCGACAUGUUGCCACAAGGAGAGUUUUCGUUGACUUGUAUAUUCUGAAGGAGAACUUACGCCUCACCGCUGUCAACCGCAACUCUGAAACAAAUGCAUCCUUACUAGCAAACAUCUGGUUGACAUAGAUCCUGCUACCAUACGAUCUUCCUCCUUCACUACCAUAUGUCCCUUUGAAAUCUUCAAAACACAUAUCAUCAUCUUCUUCCUCAUCUUCAUCCUCAUCUUUAACCUUCCCAUACUCACUGUAAUCCUCAGCAUCAUCAAUCGCUUCAGCAACAACAAGGAUAUCAGCAUCCUCGUCCCCAUCAUCCUCCUCCCCAUCAUGAUUUUCAUCUUCAGCCAUAUCGUCAUCAUCUUCAUCCCCUUCAUCACCUUUAUUCCCUUCAUAAGCUUCAUCCCAUUCAUCAUCCUCUUCCCCUUCCUCUGAAACAGCUCUCAUCUUGCUAAGGCUUGAUACACAAAGACAUACUACAUGCGUUUUAGCUAUCUCGAGCAAGUUCUGAACUUGUCUAUCACUUGUAACAUGAAUAUGAGGGGUGUCUGAAGCCAUCCGUUGCAUCAUUGCCUCUGGUAAUGAGUACGCUAACUGCACAGACUCUGUGUUCAUGUCCAGGUUAUAAUCUUUUUGAGCCAUUGCAACAUGUUCAUCAUGUGUCGAACCUUCACUCAAAAAGAACAGUCUCGCUCCUUUGAACUUAUCAACCACAAAAUUCCAACAGCCAUCUUUCAACAAUCAUUCCCCAUACACUGCAUGUAACUGACGAUCCAUCUGAAAAAAACAAAACAAAACACAUUAGCAAACAUAGAACAUGUAUGAGUUAAAAGCACAUUAGCUAUAAACUUUAAUUAACAUUAAUGUUGGUAACCUAAUAAAUAUCACCAAUUAAAUUAUAAAUUUCAUUCAGUAGUCCAAAUAUUCAUUAAUAAACAUGAAUUAACAAGAAAAUGUUAAAAAUUCUUUAUAGUUUUAGAGAAAAUGCAAGUUUAUUAAACAUUGACGCAUAGGACAUCCACAAAGGUCGUCUAGUAGACUUCCAGAGAAGUCGUCAAUUUAGGUCAUUUUUGCAUUUAAAAUUUUACAAAGGACGACUUUCAUAGAAGUCGUCUCUACACCAGACUUCUUUGGAAGUCUUCCUUUGUAAAUAUUGGCAUACUUUUGUUUUAAAAAAAAUCUCGGGAAACCCAGGUUAGUUUUGCAAUUGGAAAAUAAAACUUAAAUAUUUAAGUCUUCUAGACGACUUACACGGAAGUGGUCCACCAGACGACUUACAUGGAAGUCGUCCAAGAUAACAAAGGUUUGACCAGAAUCUCGGAAUAAAAUCCUCGACGACUUCUCUGUAAGUUAUCUGGCGGACGACUUCCGUGUAAGUCGUCUAGAGUAAAUUAAAUAUUUAAGUUUUAUUUUCCAAUUGCAAAACUAACCUGAGACGACUUCCAUGUAAGUCGUCUCGUUAUAUUAAAAUAUUGAAUUUUUGAUUUUCUACUGGACGACUUCCAAGUAAGUCGUCAAGGGAAAGUCAAAUUUCUGACACAAUUCGGUCAAUUGCAAAACUAACAUGUUUAUCCCAGACGACUUCCGUGGAAGUCGUCUUUGGGUUUCUCGAGAUUUUUUUUUAAACAACAUUAUUGUUUAAAUUUAUUUUAUUAAAAAAAAACUUAAACAAUCACAUUAAUUAUAUAAUAAAAAAAUUAGAUUUUUUUUUAUAUGUUAUAUUUUGAAUUUUUUAAAAUGACUUUAAAUUACAAAAAUGAAGAAACCUUUAUAUGUUAUAUUUUUUUUAAACGACUUUAACAAAUUAGUGAGAUAACUUCCUUAGCACACCGAAGUCUUCUCCAAGCAUACAGAAGCUCAAACGAAAGUGACCCACCAAGAAUCGUGACCUUCAAUGCAUUUAUGAACCAUAAAAAAAAUCUUGGGUUUUUUGGGAUGAAUAUAGAGAGAAAGUAAAGAGAUGUUGUUUAAGUUCAUAAGAAUUGAGAAAAGAGGAAGUAUAAAUCGAUUUUAGGUGCAUUGAGAGCUUCAAGUUGGUGGUUCAUGGUGGUUGGUGUAUUGAUGGCAAUGACAAUCUUGUAAAUACUUGAAGAUGAUGAGAUUGAGAGAGUAAAAAGCCCAUUUUCGAAAAGAAAAAAAAAAUAAUGGCAUUUUCGUAAAUUAUUUGAACUUGAGGGGUGAAUAGGGAAAAUGAAAAUUUCAAAAAAAUCAUAGGUUAGUUUUGUGGUUGACUUUGAGUUGUGUGUCACUUUUGCAAAAAGCCCAUAAUAAAUAUCUUAGAGGAAUACACAUAAUUGUUUCGGCUAACUAAUAGUGUAUAACAUAUAUCUUAGAAGAUACAAGUAAUGUUAGCAGAUGACAAUAUUCUUGUAAUGUAUACAUUAACAAAUUAAAAUGCAAUAUAGAUUAAUUUCAAAGGUGUAAUCCCCUAUAUAUUAAUUGAGAAGCAUUUGAAAAGUUAGAACCUUAAUUUUGUAUUAAUUAAAAAAAACCUCAAAUCUUAGUUAAAAUUUUCUUAUAUGUUAUAUUUUGAUUUUUUUUAAAACGACUUUAAAUUACAAAAAUGUAAGUUUUCCUUAAGUAUACGACUAAAAACAUUAAAAUGACAUGUAUCAAUUCGAUGGUUGAUUUGAAAGCUUUCAAAACCAUAUGGAAGAUAAAAGUCAAAAUAAUUUAACUGUGGAAACAAUACUGUUCACUUUUUUCAAGAAUGUGUUCGGUGGAAAAAAUAAGGUUUUUAUGUCAUAAUUUGUUUAAUGUCCACUAGAGAACAUUAUAUUAACCUAAAAUAUAAGAAGUGUGUAUUCUUUCCUUAAAUAAAAGCUACAGAAUUACCUAAUAUGAUUUACAUAUAUAUGACAAUUAAUGAUUAUGAAUAAUAAAGAUUUGAUAACAAUUUUUGCAUCCUUCUUCAUUUUGUUUAAUUUUAUAUUAUUAAAAAAAAUAAACAAUCACAUUAACCAUAUAAUAAAAAAUUAGAUUUUUUCUUAUAUGUUAUAUUUUGAAUUUUUUAAAAUGACUUUAAAUUACAAAAAUGAGGAAACCUUAUAUGUUAUUUUUUUUUAAAAACGACUUUAAAAUACAAAAAUGAGGACACCUUAUAUAUUAGAUUUUUCUUAUAUGUUAGAUUUUUUCUUAGAUGUUAUAUUUUGAUUUUUUUAAAACGAAUUUAAAUUACAAAAAUGUAAGUUUUUCUUAAGUAUUCGACUAAAGACAUUAAAAUGACAUGUACCAAUUUGAUGGUUGAUUUGAAAGCUUUCAAAACUAUAUGGAAGAUAAAAGUCAAAAUAAUUCAACUGUGAAAACAAUACUGUUCAUUUUUUUCAAGAAUGUGUUCGAUGGAAAAAAAUAAGGUUUUUAUGUCAUAAUUUUUUUAAUGUUCCAUCCGAUCAACCCAUGAUGUAUUAAUUAUAGUUUUGUUUCAUUAUUUUUAAUAAAAAUUGAUCCGAUCCAUCGGAAAGUAAUUAUAUAAUAACAACAAAAAAUAUUUUAUAUAUAUAAAUAAAAUGAUCACAUAUAUAAAAAAAACUAUCGAUAAUAUAUACAAAUAAAUUCACCCUGCGCAAGGCGCAGGUCUUAUCCUAGUAGGUAUUUAAAAGGGUUAUUAACGAAUAAUAAAUAUCUUAGACGAUACACGUAAUGUUCUCAGUUAACUAAUAAUGUACAACAUAUAUAUUUUUUUUUUGUCAAAAUGUACCACAUAUAUCUUAGUAGUGUAAUGUUAGUGGACAACAAUACCGGUGUUGACAGAUAUUAAAGAGGUUACAGUGGGGAUGGCGGCGAAGGUUGACGUUCUCCGGGUGGUUGUACGUAAACGUACGAAUUGACAAAAAAAAUUCUGAAACAGAUCGGAGUGUUUGCACGAGAUUAGGAGACAGUGUAUUGAAUUUCAAGCCGUCCUCAUUCUUAACAAUGAUCCGAACAGAGUUUGUUGGGUUCAAUUUAAUCAACUUCACCAAAAAAUUAAGUUGUGUGUUUUAUCUUUGUUAUUUGGUUAGUCUCCUUUUCGUUUUUUUUUUUCCGCCAAGAAUUUAUUUGAUAAAAGGGCAAGGCCCAUUGUCUUACAAAGCCCAGAUUACACGGACCAACUAAACAAACAACAAAUGGCAUGGGCCCAAUAAAUGAGCCCUAGGCCCAAAGGUAGGUGAUGUCGGCCGAAAUCCUUCGCUUCGAACCGCAUCAUCACCUCCGCCUCGACCACCCCCGGAAAACCACCCACCGGUUCACCAAAUCACACCGCAGGUUUUCCACUACACACCAUCUUCACCACGACCGCCAACAUCUCGCAUGCGUCUAAAUCGGAGAGAAUCAAUCGAUACUUCUACAGGAAGGAGAAUCACACCGCAGGUUAGUCUCCUUUUCGUUAGUCUUAAUAUUUUUUUAUCUCUUGUUUUUUUUUUCUCUUUUUUCUCUUUCUUCUACAGGAAGAAUCUGAGUAUAGGAUAGAAUAUCAAUAGAUAUAGGGGUAUUAUUAGAUUAUGGAAAAUUGAAUAGUUCACAGGGUAGUUACCUAAUUUAGGCUAAAACCGUGUAUAUGGAACCUAAUAUCUCUAUAGUAAAUAUCUUUAAAAUUGAUUAUAGAGAAAUUACUUGUAAUGACUCUAAUUAUACAUGUAAUGACUCUUGUAUUUUUAUAAUUACUAGAAUAACACAUCUAUCAUGCAAAGUUACACAAACACCCCUGUCAUUAUCUUAAUAUGCACAAAUUUGCCAUUAGAAUUAUUAAUAGAAAUAGAUUUUAGGAUUAUUUUCUAAAAUAUCAAAAUCUCAUUUUAUUUUUUGGCCGAAGACGUCUCUCCAUGGCAGACGAAGAACCCCACAUGCUAACCCUAACUCUCCUUCAUCUCCGCCACCUUUGUCUUUACCUUCUCCCUUAUCUCUAUUGGCGCGACCACCUUCACCUUCUCCUUCUAUGGCGAUUUUUAAACUGCACAAUCAUCACCGGAUCGGAGAUCUCUAGAAUCCCUUUAAUUCCUUCAGGAUUAGUCACUGUCCGUCCAGCCCUCCUCUCUCAUAAGCAUUGUGUUUCUUUAAUGUGGUAAGUAAUGUUUUGAUUGUGUUCUAACACUCUUUAUUUGGAAUCAGUUUGAUGGCUUAAGUAGAACCAAUGCUACCAAACAUUCACGUGUAUUAUUAACUUUUGUUUCAUUAAUUCAAUUCAAAUUGUUUGCUGGUUCGUGAUCUUCCUUCCUCGCUUUUGCAGGUUUGUGAUCUUCCUUCCUCGCCUUGCAGAGUGAUUUGUCUGACAGAGUCGCCAGAAAAUCUAUCCAGUGCUUCCAAAAGUUGUUUCUUCUGAUCAGAGAGAUGACAUGGCGACUGUAGCUUGGGCUGAGCAACAAACAAAAACUUGAGAAAAACUUGUGUUCACGUCUUCUUAAACUACUCGUUUUAAAGUAAAAGUAAAAGUCUUUCUAAGCUUGUUUUUCCAAAGUGGUAAUAUUCAUUUGCGCUGUUUUGAGUCUUGGUAAGGUGAUCUGGAAGAAGAGAAGAAGAUACUAGAGAAGGAGAAGAAACAUGACAAUAUGAUAAAUACUCAUAUACUUCCUUUGACGAUAUGAUCUCAUCAGAAGAUGUAUUAGUAUCAAUUGAUGAUGUAUUAGUAUCAAUUGGUCAAGAUCAAGUUGUGUAUAAGAGUAAAAAGACAAUAUAUCGUCCUACUGUACAAACCCAAAUCUUAGGAUGUGGAUAAUACAAACACACGAAUAAAUUAUGUAAGUUGAUGUAAUGAUGCAACUUUUGCAACUUGUAAUAAACAUAUUAGUGAGACACCAAUUGAAACUUCAUACCAACGCUCUGUUACAUAGCAGGAAUGUUCAGCUACCAAAAAAAAAAGGAAUGUUCAGCUACCUAUACUUGGACGGUAAACUUUGAAGAUUCACCUACAAGUUAUUAAACCAGACAACUUGAUUAAGAAGAAAAGAGGGAUGAAAGAUAUGAUGACAUUUACUAAAAAAUUGUCUAAUUCUGAUCUUAAUUAACCUAAAAAUAAGCCAGAUUUGAAAUUAAUGUAAACCGGAUCGAAAUUGAACAUUAAAUUAAACUCAGAUUUCCGUCAAUAAAUCUGCCACAACAUAAAUUAAAAAGUCUGUCACCACAUAAACAAAAAGUCUACCAACAAUUUUAAGUCGGAUAUAUAAAUAUGCCAUUAAAAAUAAGUCGAACAUAAGAAAAUAAGUGGGUACAUAAGAAAAUAAGUAGACCACAAAAAUCUACCAUUAACAAAUCUGCUAUCUAAUUCGACAAACAUAUUCUAAAAAAUCUGUUUUCUAUUCAAAUCGGACAUUAACUCUACCUUGAAAACAAAUCUGACGUCUAAGAAACUCUGACACUACUUUAGCGAUAGAUUUCUUUUUUUAUACAGAUUUUAUAAACAGACUUAUUACUCGAUAGAUUUAUUUUCAAAAAAAUAAAUCUGUCGUCGAUCAAAUGUUAAAGGUACUUUUGUAAUAUUUUUUUUUGUUAUAACUAUAGGCAAGAGUAAUUUCGACCAAAAAAAUAUUCUAAUAAUUUUCAAAAAAUAUGAGUCAUUCUAGUAAUAACACAAUUAAUUUGUGUCAUUCUAGUAAACUUUCCUUGAUUAUAUUGUGAUAUUAUGGUUGAGAACCAUGUAUUACCUUAUAUGCAUAUACAUGUUACUAUUUUCGUUAGAUCUUUAUUUUUUUUUACAUCCAAUCUUUACUUUAUGAAUGCAAUAUAACAUGGUAUAGAAAUACUUGAUUGUUAGUCAAUUGGAAUCUCUGAAUAUAAGCAAUUUCCUAUAUAAUAGGGAGAUAAAAAAAAAAACCUCAAAUAUUGUUAUGUGUUUUGUUGGACCAUUUCAAAUUUAAAUGACAACUUUUUAACACGAGAUAAAAAUAGAAUUUUAAACUAAUAGAAUAGAUAACUUUAACAUUAUCGUAAAUGUUUUUAAUAUAUGAUUUACAUUAAGUGUUAUAAAUAUAUUGUAACUCUAUAAUUUUAUUGAUUAGGUUUCUUAUUCGACAUUAUUAAUAUAUAAUAAAUUUUUUUAUACAUUCUACUUUGUUAUUAAAUAUUAAUAUAUUUUCGAGUUCGGUGUAUAGUAAAUUCAUAAUAUGAAAUAAUCAAAUAGAGAAUCUCCCUCAUUAAAAAAACAUUUCUACAGUUUGCAUAUAAUAUUGCAUUAAUAAAAAAAUAUUUAGUUAUAUUAUAGAGGAUAUUUGUUUAGGAUAAUUUAUAUUUCCAUGUUGUGUUUAUAAAAAUACUUAUCAUUUAUCAUUUUAGCAUAAUGCAGGAUUUUUUAAAGUAAAUAAAUUGUUUAGUUUAAGUAAUUUAGCCUUAUUAUUUUAGUAUAUUUUAUCAAUAUAUGAUAUUUUUGAAUGUUAUGAUAUUAAGUUUUUUAUCCUUUUUUGUUAUUAACUUAAAUUUUUAUAAAACUUUGGUUUUUACAACAUAUUUUUUCUUGUGUUGCGUUUCAAAAAAUUGUAUAUUGGUUUAGAGAAAUUAAAAAAAUUAUACACCUAUUUUUGAGCUUGGAAAAUUAUAUGAAUUUUGAUUGUUUUUGGUUACUAAACUAAUACAUUAUUUAUUAAAAAUAUUAAAAUUUUGGUAAGAUUUUUUUUAUAUUUUACUCAAAAUAUUUUCUUAUAGUUAAAAAUAAACAAUAAAUUUAUAGUUAAAAUUUAUUUCUCAUUAGUAUCUUUAAUGAAUUAUUAAAACUGAAAGUUUUUAAAUCGAUUAUUUUGUAAAUAAUACUUAAACUAAAGGUUAGUUAUAUACUAUUAUAUUUUGUAUAUUAUCAUUUUUAGAUAAUAUAUUGUCGUGAUCUUAGAUCAUAUAUAGUUGUAGAUAUAAAAGUUUAGCAUACGUUACCAAUUUGAUUUUUUGUAUAACAGUAUACAUAAUUUACAAAUUUUAAUCCUCUUAAACGGGAAAAUGAUACUUUAUUUAUUUAUUUAUUUAAAUAAAGAAUAUUUAAAGUAGUUUAAUUUACAUUAAUAUAAUUUCAUAUUUAAUUCAUAUAUUAAUUCUACUUUAUAAAGAUAGCAUAGAUCUUUUUUUAUAAUAAAAUUUCAUUUAAAAUUAAUUUUUAAUAAUAUUAUAUUACUAAUUACGAAAAUACAUUAAUUAAAAAUUAUUUCAAAUUGUUAGUAAGACUUUGUUAGAUUUUUUUCUCAACAAAUUUUGUUAUAACUAAAAAGUAAAUUUUAUAAUUGUAGUUAAAAUUGAUUUAUUAUUAAUUUCCUUAUAAUUAUUAAGUUUCUUAGAAAUGUUAUAUAUUUAAUAGAUUAAUGUAAAUAAUCAAAUAAAUUGUUGUGAAACUAGAGAAUAGAAACUGUAUAUCCUUAUUAAUCUUAAACAUAAGGAGUCAUCUAUAUAUAGGGAAUUACAGCGUCAUAGAAUAAUGGAAAUACUAGAAAGGAAAUACAAAUAUGGAAAGAAUACAAAUCAUAAUCUAAAAAGGAAAAGAAAAAAGUGGCCGACUCUCUCUCCUCUAGACUCACGGCCCACUCUCUCUCUCUCUCUAGCAAUGGACCGGUUAUGGACCGGGCCGGUUAUGGACAUCCACAAUAUGAUUUAUAACACUCUCCCUUGGAUGUCAUAACUAUACAGAGUUUGUAAUACGCUUUGGAUAUUUCCUCAUUAAAACCUUACCAGGAAAACCCAAUGGGACAAAACCAUGGUGAAGAAAAAACAGUACAACACAUAUUACUCCCCCUGUUCUGUACCUCACUGAAGGUCUUUCAGUCUACGCAUCUCAAUCUGAUGCGUGAGCUUCCUGAACGUGCAAGUCGGAAGUGAUUUAGUGAAUAGGUCGGCUGAGUUGUCACUGGAACGCACUUAGACUACUUGGACCUCGCCGGCUUUCUGUAGCUCGUGCAUGAAGAAGAACUUCGGUAAGAUGUGCUUCGUUCGGUCUCCUUUGAUGUAGCCAUCCUUGAGCUGAUCAAUGCAUGCUACAUUGUCCUCAUACAUCACGGUUGGUGCGUCGUUGCCUUCGGUCAUCCCACAAUCGACUCAGAUAUGGUUGGUCAUGGACCUUAACCAUACACAUUCGCGGCUGGCCUCAUGAAUAGCCAAGAUUUCCGAAUGAUUUAAUGAAGUGGCCGCGAUCGUCUGCUUCAUGGAACGCCAUGAUAUGGCCGUUCCACCAUGUGUAAACACAUAGCCUGUCUGUGAUCGAGCAUUGUGUGGAUCCGAAAGAUAACCUGCAUCAGCAAAACCAACUAAACUUUCUUUGUUUUGGUUAGUAUAAAAUAGACCCAAGUCUUUCGUUCCUUGCACGUAACGAAGAACAUGUUUAAUCCCGUUCCAGUGCCUUUGGGUCGGAUAAGAGCUAAAUCUAGACAAUAGAUUCACGACAAACCAUAUAUCUGGUUGUGUGUGACUAGCCAGAUACAUCAAAGCUCCUAUGGCACUGAGAUAUGGCACUUCGGGACCUAGGACAUCUUCAUCAUCCAUCUUAGGAUGGAACGGAUCAGUGUACAGGCCGAGGGACCUCACGACCAUAGGGCUCGACAACGGGUGAGACUCGGCCAUUAGUGUUCAGUAUCAACUUUCGCAUCAUGUUCGAACCGGGAUGGCCAAGCCGGUCGUGCCAAAGAGUGAAAUUUUCGAUGGCCUCUUUGUUAAAAGUGGCAUUGGCCUCAAUCAUACUGACUUUAGUAUGGUAAAGACCAGUAGAGAGUGCAGGUAUAGAUUCUAAGAUUUUCUUAUUGCCUUGGGCAAUUUCAAUGAUUUGAAGGAACUCUUUGUUUCCUUCGCCCUUAGUCUCAAUAUGGAAACCAUUCAUUCGAAUGUCUUUAAAACUCAAUAAGCUUCUCUUUGAGCUGGGUGAAUAUAAUGCAUCUGAUAUUCAAGAUGCGUAUCCAUAGGCAACAGAAUGUUAGCCUGGCCGUGGCCCUCUAUGAGACUAGCUAUACCCGCAAUUGUGGAGAUGUUGGCGUUUUUAAGAGUUAAGUUUAUGAAGUAUCUUUUGUCUCUUAAGAUCGUGUGGCUUGACCCACUGUCCACUACGAAUACAUCCUUGUUUUCGUUCAUUUCUAAAACAAGAUUCAUAGGAUAAUACUUAGAGACUCCAUAUAUAAAAAUCAUUCAUUCAUUAAGUUUUAAUAAAACAAGUUCAAAGAAAUGACAACAUAGAAAAACACCAAAGCAGAGAACACAAAAGUUUAGAUGUCGAAUUCAACUUCAAUCUUUUAGACAAUCUGAAGUUUCAUAAUUCAUAAGAUCGUCUUGGUCAAGAUUAAAAUCAUCUUCACCAUCUUGAUAGGUCAUGUGGGCUUCAGGAUUCUUCCCUUUCAAACUCUCUUGAUAGAGGUCAACUAGAUGUUUGGGAGUCCUACAUGUCUUAGCCCAAUGAUUGCCCAUACCACAUCUAUGGCAUACUGAUUUGGUCGAGUGUUACGGUUUGAAUGAUGUCCCAUGGCCUCGGCCUUGACCUCGGCCAAAUGAGUGUCCUUGGCCACGGUCUCGACCAUGAUCUCGACCAUACUGAUUUCCCCGUCUGCGGCCAAAAGAAUUCCGACCACGGCCACGUCCAUGCCAUUUUCCACGACCACGGCCGUGUUGGCCAUUUCCUUGGAUGUGGUUAGCUUCUUUCUUGGCCUCUGUGGCCGCGUGUGCUUCAGGUGGUGGGGCUGAUCCAGGAGGUCUCAUUUCACUGUUUCUCAUCAACAAUUCAUUGUUUUGCUCAGCGAGUAAUAGAGAAGAAAUCAGAUUAGCAUAAGUCGUGAAGCCCUUCUCACGGUACUGUUGUUGUAACAACACAUUGCUUGUGUGGAAGGUGGAAAAGGUUUUCUCAAGCAUAUCCUUAUCCGUUAUAUCCUCACCACACAGUUUCAAUUUCGAAACAAUCUUAAAUAGGGCUGAGUUAUACUCGUCCACAAACUUAUAGUCUUGGAUCCUGAGAUUCCUCCAAUCAUUCAUAGCCUUUGGUAAGAUCACCGUUCUCUGGUGAUCAUAUCUUGCUUUCAAUUAUGUCCAAAGGUCUAAUGGAUUCUCAAUUGUUAAAUACUGAUCUUUGAGACUCUCAGUAAGAUGAUGGCGUAUAAUCAAUAUAGCCAUGUAUCUAUCUUUCUCACUAUCAUUAUUGUCCUCGGUGAUACAUUCACCGAUUCCCUUGGAUUUCAGGAUGAUCUUAGCAUCAAGUGCCCAUUGCAAGUAAUUAUCUCCAGAGAGAUUUAGGGCAGCAAAAUCCAAGUUGUUGAUUUUUGACAUCUGAAAUCAUAUGUUUUAUAAUUUAGAUCUUUAAAGAUUAUAAUGUUCUUAGUCUUAUUAGUGUUCUUAUGAUUAUACAAGAUAUGAUGCAAGAUAAGCCGCACGGCCAAGACAAGGUAUGCACAAUCUUAUCAAACGGUUUAUAUAUGAUCUUAAUGCAAUCGGUUCAUACAUCUUAGCAAUCGUUUUCUAAGUGAUCAUAUGAAUGUAAACAUGAAACCUUAAUCAAGCAAUCAAGCAAUGCAUCGAGGAGUUAACCUAACGGAUCAUACUCAAUCAAUUAGGGUUUUAAUAUGAACAAGCCGGUCAGGUUAAGUCUUAAACAGGAUGAGAACAAUUUUACCUAGGCGAUUUCUAACAUUCGAUUGGUUCAUCAAUUCAAUCAACCAAAUUCAAGUAUGAGAUUAGCAAUCCUAGCAAACGGUUCUAUGUGAUUCAGAUUCAAAAGCAUUCAAUCAAUCAAACAACCAAAUUCGAUUUCAAUUUAGGGUUUGCAUGAUAUGCAAUAUGCAUAUAUGCGGCUAGGCUUUAGGGUAUUUAGGGUUUCAAUUUAGAUCAAGCAAUGAGAUUCGAUUUUGGGUAUUUAGGGAUUGGAUCUAUUGCCUUAGGGUUUGGUUAUUAGAUUUAGUUUUACCUUAACCUCAAGUCGGGUUAAAUGGACCACCAACUAGAGAAGAGCCGCGAACUGAACGUUGAGAUCGAGUCGCGAACUGGUUGCUAUCGGAUCACGAAUGGAUUGAAGCUGAGACGGAUCGCGAACGGGAGCAAGCUGCUAUCGGGUCGCGAGCUGUGUGUGCUGAUAUCGGGUCGCGAACGUGCUGACUAUCAAGCUGAGUAUCGAGUCGCGAACGGUAUCGGAUCGCGAACAGGCUGUGUGCUGAGAUCGUCUAUCGGAAUCGAGCUGAGACAGUCUGAGGUCGCGAGCUGUGAAACGGAUCGCGAACGGGAACAGACUGAGUAUCGUUGCUGAACACGAGAUCAAGGGUUUCACGAUCGGGAAGAGAUGGAUCACAAUCGGAUUAUAUGUUCUCGAUCGGGAUGGAGGUUCGCCGGCUAGGGUUUAUCGUCGAUAGGGUUUUAGCUUAGGGUUUCAGAGUAAUCGUGCUGAUAACGUGUUGUGAAACUAGAGAAUAGAAACUGUAUAUCCAUAUUAAUCUUAAACAUAAGGAGCCCUUUAUAUAUAGUGAAUUACACCGUCAUAGAAUAAUGGAAAGACUAGAAAGGAAAUACAAAUAUGGUAAGAGUACAAAUCAUAAUCUAAGAAGGAAAAUGAAAAGGUGGCCGACUCUCUCCUCUAGACUCACGGCCGACUCUCUCUCUCUAUCAAUGGACCGAUUAUAGACCGGGCCGGUUAUGGACAUCCAAUAUGAUUUAUAACAUAAAUGUAAUUUAUGAAAGAGUAUUUGCAUCUCAUAUAUUAGAACUUCUUCGUAUUUAGCAAUAAAAGAAGCCACGCCUCGUGUUUAAAGUGGACGUCAGAAAAAGUACCUUCCGGCGGAGAUUGAAGCCGUGUGUCCUAUGAACGUCGGAGUCACGUGGAGUUUUUCUUCCACGAGUUUUUGGUUACACGCCGAUUAUGAUUAAUGGAUUUGUGAAUGUGAUUUUGAGUUGAGAAAUAAGUAGCAUGUGUUUUAUAUUAAUGGUUUCAGCAUUUUAAUAAUAAAUAUAUUAGCUAUUUAGUUAAUACAUUGUGUACAGUUUAGUUAACUUUGUUGAAACGUAGAAAAGACAAAGACGUGAUGAUUGGUUCGACUGCGACUUUAAAAAUUUAGCUGUAGAUAAAUCGGUUGUAGCUGUAAAGUUGUUACUGUAGACUUUUUCUGCAGAGACUUUUGCUGUAAUUAAAUUUGUUGUAGCUGUAAGCUGUAGGCUGUAGAUAUUUUAAAAUAAAAUAUAUGAAAUAUGUGUUGUAUAUAUAAAAUUAUUAUUUUAUAUCAAUUAAAAUAAUUUAUAUUAAUAUUUUUUAAUAAAUUAUCAAAAUUUAUUGUAAUUUAAAAUGUGAUAUGUAAAUAAUAUUUAUAUUAUUUAAAUAUCUUAAUAAUUUAAAAACACUCAAAUUCAAAAUUAAAAUAUUUAUAAAAGUUUUUAUUAUGAUUAUAUAAUUUAUUUGAUAUUAUAGAUAUUUUUUUUUCAUUUACAUAUUCUACAUCCUAUAAAAAGAAGAUGUAGGGUUUUUGCCUAAAUUACAUAAGAAAAAGUUUUGCUUUAUUUUUUUUGCUGUAACUUUAAAAAUAAAGCUAAAGCAUGAUCGGUAAAACUAAAUAAAAACUUGAUGUAGACUUUAAUUUUUAAAAGUAAAACUACAACAUGAUUGGUAAAAUUUAGUGAUUUAAAAAUAAAUAAAGCUAAAGUAGGGAGAUAAAGCCCAACCAAUCACCCCCUAAAUCAAAUGUAUGUCUUAGAUAGAAAAAUAUUUUAAGGUUAUGAAUGGUAAAUAGGUAGUGCGGUUUUUGAUGCAUUUUAUUUAAAACGGCAAAGAAUUACCAAUCAGAUUUUUCUUUCUAGAAAAUCGUUUAAAAAAAAAUUAAAGCAAAACCGUAUACGCCUUUUCAAAACAGCAAUAACAACUUGUUCGAUGAAAUCUGCACUUCAAAACUCGAACACUCCCUAUAGCCUGUGGUCAAAUAUAACAUCGCACCCAGAUCAAUAUUUACUUAUUUAUAUAUUGAUAUAUGGUAUUUUUGACAUUAUUAUAUAUAUGUUUUCAAAGGUUUUUUAGUUCUCAUUCGAGUCUGUUUAGUCAUUUUUGAGUCUUUCAGGUCUGGAGUAGGUUGCGGAGUCGGAAAAUAGUGUAUGAAAAAAAUAUGACAUAUUUGGAGAAUUUCCCGCGGCAUAGACAGACGGAGCGGUUUGACGAUUGUUCUCCUCAAGGAACAGUCCGAACGAUUGUUCCCGACAUUUAAUGAAAUAUCCAAGUUAAUUCGGGAGUUUACCCUAGCCGUCCCACUUCUGCUCUAAUCUAAUGGCGCCUCCAUAUAAAAGUGUCUCUAUCAUUAUUUUAUUAUGUACGCUACUAUUUUAUUAUGUACGCUAGUUUUGUAAGAAACCUAGACUUGUUUUUUGGCGAUUUGCAACAUGUAAGGGAGACGGCUCCAUCUCUCAUCUAGAGAAGUUCAUCAUGAACCCUCUUGUUUCUAUUUCGAUUUAUAUGCAGUAUUAUUUAGAAAUCAUGUCCUUGGUAUCUUGUGUGAUGUCUUAGUAGUCGGCUAACUUGUCUAGGGUUCUAGGGUGUUGAUUGCAUUAGCUAAACAUAGAUAAGCAAUUUAUUAUGUUGUCUUCAUUCAUAUCAAUUCUUACCGCUUGCAUUAAUCUGAUCAUUUAAUGUUUGAACCUAGGUCUAAUCAACUCCAUAACCGCGUAGAAGAUAACUCGAUACCGUAUGAAUGAGCUUAGCAAACGUAAUCAACGAAAGUAGAUAUUAGGGUGUUUAGUGAACCUAUCAGACUUGAUGUAUAACACUUGCCCUCAAUCUUGUUCCAAGCGAGAGCUUAGGUAUCAAGAUUUAGUGGCAUAGGGGGCAUUUCUACGACAGUGGGCUGUUCUACCUGAGUGAUCCGAGUUUUAGAUUGUGUUUAACCGUGCUUGAAUAAUUGUUUGGCUCAGUAUUGACACCCGAUGAAAUAACCCUAGGCUAACUUCUUGUUAAAUUUGCAUUCUUUAAUUAAUCUUGUUACUUGUUUCUCACGAAACCAUAAAUUCAAACCCCAAUUUUGUUUUAACUUAACGUUGAACCAGUAAGAUAAAGUGUAAACUGGUUUUCUGGAAUUGAAUCUAACGUAUUACAAUAACACUCUUAACUCGACAGUAGCAAGGUUCAUUUUUAGUGUAUCACAUAUGUUUUUUCAUAAUAAAAGCUGUGUAUAAGUAUAGACCAAACCCAUUUAUAAUUCAUUCAUAUUUGAAAAGAAAAAGAGCAUAGUUUUCUGCAUCAACAUUUACACAUCAUUCAAAAUGGAAGAAAUGAAUUGUAUUCACAUUCACAAAAUAAGUAAGUAUUUUGAUUUAAAGCUAUUAUGUUAUAUAUAGAAUAAUUAAUUAAUUCACAAAAUAAAAUUUAAAAUAGAAUAAUUAUAAAAUAAUAAGUAUAUUUUGUUAUCCAAUUAAUUAAAGGUUGACAAAUAUUAUGAAAGGCUACUUACGUACAAUAUUAAAUUUACAGUUUAUUUUAUAUAAAUUAUAAAAAUGUUGUUUAUGAAAAGUUAAAUUGUAAAACUAUUUAAGGUUAAUUUAAGUAAAUUUCUAAAAUAAUGUCUUAUUGGAUAGAAGCGUAAAUCUUAAAAUUUUAGUUUACAUGAUGCUAAUUACAUAAUUACAUAAUAUUUACACAAAACAUAGUCCAAUCCAAAAAAGAAUACAUGGCCACAUAAUUAAUAUGUAAAGUUCAAAAAGACAAUUUUUAUAUUACCCUUUAAAUUUUAAAAAGAUCAAUGUUUUAGAAAACAAAAUUGAGAAAACAGCCAAAUAAAUAUUGAACUUACACUUUUUUUUACCAAAAAACACAUCAACUCUUCAUUAAUCCAAAAAACAUAUUAACUUGUAUUGACCGAGCCGAAUUAGGUAUAAAUUUAGUCAACAUUAAUUUUCACUUAACCGGUGUAUAUUUUUUAACGGAAAUCAAAACGAUUUUGUUUUAUUAAAAUAAAAAGACUAAGAAAAUUCACCGUAAAAAUAUUGAACUUACACAUUUUUGCUAAAAGCAUGAAUUAUUCACCGAUGCAAAAAAUAUAAACUUAUUUUGCCUCAACCAAAACAAGUUUAUAAUUUUGGAUCAGUGAAGAGUUCAUGCUUUUUUUUAGAAAAUGGGUAAUUUUAGUAUUUUCAUGGUGAUUUUUAUUAAAUUUUUUAUUUUAGCAAGAUAACACCAUUUGAUUUCUGCUAAAAAUAAGCGUUGGUUAAGUGAAAAUUAAUGUUGACUAAAGUUAUAUCUAGUUUGGUUCGGUCAAUAAAAGUUCAUAUCUUUUUAAAAUUAAUAAAGAGUUCUUGAUUUUUUGACAAAAAAAUAUAAGUUUAGUAUUUAUUUGACCGUUUUCUCAAAACAUUUUUUUUUAAAUGAUACAUAUUUUACAUUUUCAAUACAUUCACUAAUGGUAAAUUAUAAACUUAAAAAAACAAAUUAUGUUUAUUAAAAUUCUAUUGGUUAAAAGUUAUGUAAAAUAGUUAAUUACGAAAAUAAUGUAUUGGUAACUAGGCCUGGAACUUUUAUCCGAGAUCCGGAUUCGAUCCGAGAUUCGAUCCGGAUCCGAUCCGAAAAUCCGGAUAUCCGGAGGGGCCGAAUCCGGAUCCGGAUAGUAAAAUGUUGGAUCCGUCAAAGCCGGAUCCGGAUCCGGAUAUCUUAAUNNNNNNNNNNNNNNNNNNNNNNNNNNNNNNNNNNNNNNNNNNNNNNNNNNUUGUUAAUAUUUUAAUAUAUUAUCAUUAUUAUUUUAUUUAUUUUAAGGAUCCAAAUCCGGAUCCGGAUAUUACAAUUUUUAGAAGGAUAUCCGACACCCGGAUAUCCGAGAACCCCAGAUCCGGAUAAGGAUAAUAAAAUUAUGGAUCCGCUGGAUAAGGAUCCGGAUCCGGAUACCUUAAAAUUGCCCAGAUAUCCGAUCCGUCCCAGACCUAUUGGUAACUAAAACUUGAUAUGUUUUCUUAAUAAAUGUGAAAAUGUUAAAACAUGGAUCUUUUUAAAACGGAGUGAGUAUUUAAGUAUUUAAUAUUUGAUUCUAAUGCAGACAAAAAGUUGGUAAUCUUUACGUCAAAUUAAAUGCUUAGUCAGCUAUUUUUUUUAGUAUUGGUCAUAAUUACAAAUAUAAACUAAUACUCCCUCCGUUCGUUUUUAGAUGACGUUUUAUAGACUUUCACACGAAUUUAGGUAAGUAACACAAUACCUAUUCUAACCCUUUUUAUAAAUUAAUUAACUUUAGAACAUUGGUAUGACAGACCAACGUAAAAGAAUAAAAUAAGUCAUUUUUUGUUACUUUUUGCCUAGAAUUUAGAGAACGACAAAUAUAUUGAAACAAAACAAAACUUCUAUAACGUCAUUUAAUAACGAACGGAGAGAGUAUUAAACAUACAAAUAAAAUUUGAUUCUGUGUUCACUUUAAAUUAAAUUUAAUAUAUGUUAUAUAAUUGAACAUUUUGAAAUUAAUUGUAAUUUUAUGAAAUGUAAUAUGUCAUCUAACAAGUGGAAAAAAUACAAAUUUUAGAAGAACAAUAAAUUCAUGUAGUCCGACAGAAACAUCUAACUCCUACAGAAACAACUUUAAGAGUAAGUUUUCACUAUAUUUUUAAAAAAAUAAUAUUGAUAUUUGUUCAAUUUUAUAAAUUAACUAGUAUUAUAAUUUAAAAUUUUGUAGACCAAAGACAAAUACAAAUAGUCUUAAAUAAUUAUACUCUUAAAAAUUAAACUGCCAUUGGUAGAGAGUAUAUGGUAGAUAAGUUCAACCGAGCCUGCAACAUGAAUAUAACUUAAGUUUUUUUUAAAACAAGCUUGAUGAAUUAAAAAAAAACAUUAUAAGAGAUGGAAGACCCUUAUGAAUUAUAAUGGUAUCUCGGUUGAUCUUGAUACAUCUAUGAUAUAUGCAUCUGACACAUGGUGGAAAGAACAUGAGAAUGUAAGUACACACAAUUUUUAUAGUCAGGAAAAUAUAAAUAUAAUAUAUAUCAAUAUUUAGAUUCAAUAAAUAUAAUGAUUUUAAAUUCUUAAGGAUACAAAUUAAAAAAAAAAACCUGAACCGAAAACCACCAGAUUUUUGGGACGUGAUGGUACAAUGUCUAGCAUUACACGAUGUAAGAAGAAGAAUAAGAUGUGUAUCGUGUUCUAAUUGAUGAUGAUGAUGAUACACAUCUUCUGAAUGAAAAAAUGAAAUAGUAACAAUAGUCCAAUCGCAGAAGUCAUCAACGAGGAAGGUAAAAUUCACAGUCAAUCAGUAGGUAUGGAAACUCACGGUUUCUAUAAAGAAUGGUUCACAUGGAGGCAUAAAAAGAUAAUUUUUUUGAAACAACUAUACAAGGCACUAUUUUUGGAUAUAACAUAAAAGUUUACAAUAACUUCGUACAUCAAACUAUGAUAAAUGGAAAAAGGCAGAAGAAAUAUGAGUUGCUCUAAACAUUCCAAAAAGAAUAUUUUACUCGACAUGCCUUAAUACUCUUAAAAAUUAAUAUUUUGGCGUAAGUAUUUUUUUUGAUAUAGAUGGAAGCAUUGAUGAAGAUAAUUUACAGUUACUGGAAGCUAUGACCGGUGUUUCAUGGAACAUGAACAUGUGCUAAAACAGUUAGGUGUAAACCAAUUAUUUGGGAGUUCAUAUGGUCAACAGUGAAGGCUCACCGCCAAUUUCUCAACAAUGGGGUACCCCACUGUUUGCUCAGCAAUGGAAUACACCACCAAAUACUCAACAAUGGAGUACACCGCCAAAUGUUUCACAAUCGAGAACACCACUUAAUACCAUACAAUGGUUCACCCCAACCAACCCAACAAUGUAGACCACUACCAAAUGUUUAACAAUGGGCCAUACCACCAAAUCCUCAAAAAUGUGGCACACCAAUGAAUUCUCAACAAUGGAGCGCACAACCAAAUAUUUCACAGUAGGGUAUGUCACCAAAUGCUUCACAGUGGAACAUACCACCAAAUGCUUCACAUUGGGAGCUUUCACCAAAUAUUUUAGGGUGGGGGCUUUCGUCAAACUUUCAACAAGGCAGACUAUCGUGGACGAAUCCAAUGCAGCAGCAGGAACUUCACCAAAUGAUAGUGCUGACCAUAUUUCACAUACACCUAGACUAGGAGGUUUAUUCAUCAUGGGAAACAUCUAUAAAUAUAAAUGAAAGUCACCAAAAUUAUUCAGAAGACGAAGAUUAGCUUUUUGAUAGUUGUGUGUCUGUAUUUUUUGUUGUAAAAGAUUGAUAUAUUCUUAGCAUUUUAAUCAUUUUAUUUGGUUAAUAUAGUUUAUAUUUACUGAUGCCUUAUCUUAUUUGAUGUUUAAAAUUUCAAGCUUUCGUAUAUGUCAUUUACAAGCACAAUACAUACACAACCUAAGUUACGAAGAGAAAAUUAAAAUGUGGAAUUUGGAAGAUGAGUAGUUUGCAGACUUAAUAAUCAAUACAACAUUUACUUACUAUGAUCGCUAUUUCGAAACGGCACCAGUGCAAACCAAUUAGAGGUUUAUAAUAGAGAAAUAUUUGGCGACGACUAGAAGGAGAUGAUGCUCCUUGUCUUCAGUUAUUAUGAAUGUCACUGCCGCGUUUUUUCUCAUGGUGUAAUAUACUACAAACAAAUUAUGGUCUACAACCAACACUAAAUGUAAGUAUUUAAGAAACUUUGACUAUGUUUAUACAGAUAGGUACGCAAUGAAGAUCAAAGAGAUGUUGGUUUGAGACUUAGUCGAAAUCAAGAGACGAUUUAAAGAAAAUUAUGGAGGUUCUUACAACAACUAUGCUGUUGGCAUGUGAUUAUAUUAGAACUCUAACAAGACAAGAGCUAAUGAAAAUUCAUGAAUGAACUCACUCUGAUCGAAAAAUAUUAUCCUUUUUCAUUGGUUUCGUUGGAGCUAUUGAUGAGACUCAUGUAUGCGUAAAAGUAGAGCCUGAGUUACAAGUAAUGUAUUGGAAUCGAAAUGAUAAUACAUCUUUGAAAAUCAUGGCAAUAUGUGAUUUGGGUAUGUUAUUCACAUAUAUAUGGAAUGUAGCACCGUGAUCUUGUCAUUAAAUAUAUUGUAGUUCUGAAAAUGCCACAGCAAAACGAAUCUUAGUUCCCUUUGCCUCCACGAGAUAAAUAUUAUCUCGUUAAUUCAGGUUAUCCGAAUAAGCAAUGAUUUUUAGCUCAAUAUACAUCACCGCGAAAUGGAAUUGUGAGAUAUUAUAUGUCUCAAACUCUCAAUUCAACUCUGGUCCUGUUCUUAGAAAUAAACAGGGCCUAUUCAAGCAAUAGCAUGUGUCUUUGCAUUCCGUUAUUGAUAGAACAUUUAUAUUUUAGAAGAAAAAAAUGAAGGAUUAUAGCGAUUUUCCAAGAUACAAAAUACACGUACAAAAAAAGAACGGUAAUGACUACAAUGAGAUUACAUAAAUUUAUCAAAAUAUCAAACUACUCAGAUGAAUAUUUUGUAAAUACAAUGCCAGAUACGAGUAUGAAUAAUAGAGAUUCAGAAUUUGACUUUGAUGAUACAAAAAACUUGAUGCGGCAUAUGGAAAAUAAACGACAAAAUAAGAUAUAACAUUGCAAAUAUGUUGUGGGCAAAUCAAAAUAAUUGAUAAUGUGUUUAUUGUAUUUUACUUAAUUUUUAUUAUAUAUAUAUGCAAUUUUAAUUCAGAUGUAUCUUGUAUUUAAAAUUUUUAAAUAAUAAAAAGUUUACACCAAUAACACGAAAUAGAAAAUUUUAAUUUUAAAUUAUAUUAGUUGCAUCGAUAUAUGUGUUUACCAUUUUAAAAAAUUGUUUAAUUGUUUAAUUCUGUAAACUAUAUAUUUUUACUAAUCAACACAAUUCCGCACUGUUAAAUUUAUCAAAACUGCAUUUAUUCUGCAAAAUAUAUGAACCGCAGUUGAACCAUUUGAUACUUUAAUUUCAUAUUACCUAUAAUAUUAAAUCGACGGUGAUGAGAGUUUAAAUGUAUUUGUUUUCUGAAAUGAUAUUUAUUAAAUAUUUAUGAAAUGGAGUAAAAAACACUUAAUUAAAAAGGAAACUAAAUAUUUCCCAAGCACGUGGCACAAUAUAAUUAGGCGAUCAGCAAAGUGACCGACCUCAGAGGAUCACACGAUACAAAACGCGCAUAUACAUAUACACAUAUGUAUGUAUAAACAUUUUAUAUAAUCUGGGCCGUCAUCCUCGUCCACAUUUCUCGCUUUACGCAACUUUCGACGAACGAACAAAAGCAGAAAAAAACCUAAAAUUUGUCUAGAAAUAUGAACCCUGCAGACGGAUCUUUCUUGGAUCCAAACGGUACUAUGACCGUACCUGCAAUUGGACCCUUGACUUCUUCGGAGGAUCUGAGCAAGAAGAUAAGGAAGCCUUAUACCAUUACCAUUUUUACUGAAUCAGGGUUUCUUAAUUACCGUGUUGGUUUCGAAUUCAAAUAGAUUUGCGACUGGGCUUUGCUGAGGCGGUGGAAUUGAGGGUUAGAAAGUAAUUGAAGUUGUAACUAGUAAGGUUGGUAUCUAUAGUGGGAAGGAUCUUUGGUAAGUUCUAAGAAUGAUAUUUACUUUACUGUUCAUUGCUUAUUCCAACUGUGUAUUUGUGAUGCAUCAUUCAUGAGGAUUGGGCACAUUAUGUAUUUAGGUUGUCUGAUAUUUGAUUAUCUGUUUUCUGAUUUUUUUUUUUUUUUUUUUUUUUUUUUUUUUGUAACACUGAUUUCUGAUAUAUCCCUUAUGCAUAUUAUUUUGUCUUUUUUUUUUUUUAGGUUUGACAGAGACUGGAAAAAGAUUGAAGCUUUCAUUGGCUCGAAGACUGUGAUUCAGGUGCAGUUUCUUGUUUGAUCUCUCUGUCGUCUUUCUCUUGGGCCCAUCUGUGAUUUACCUUGGAAUAGGGUUCUUUCCUCCCAUUUGAUAUCACCCACAAAGCUUUAUUUUAAAGCAGCUUUAUUGUCUUAACUACUAGGAGCAAGAAUGGUACAUGCUCUUUGUUCCUCAUCGCGCUGAGAUUUCAUCUUUAGAUUUUCUGGCAUUGCACAAGUGAGCUUGUUUAACACCAUUGUGUGGUUUUCUUUAAUAUCGCAGAUAAGAAGUCAUGCUCAGAAGUAUUUUCUUAAGGUACAAAAGAGUGGGACUGCUGAACAUCUCCCUCCCCCUCGACCUAAAAGGAAAGCCGCUCAUCCGUAUCCUCAGAAGGCUCAAAUGAACGGUGAGUAAUUUAGCUACUCGUAAGUGCAGUGUUGUUUGCUUAUUGAGACUAUUAUUUUUAUGCCAUUUUUUAUCCGGCAUGUGCAGUUCUACCUCAAGUACCAGGAUCCUUCAAAUCAACAGCUGAACCAAAUGACCCAAGUUAUAUGUUUAGGCCCGAGUCUUCUUCGAUGCUGAUGACUUCUCCACCACCCACUGCUGCUCCCUGGACUAAUAAUGUGCAAACAAUUAGCUUCACACCCCUGCCAAAAGGUUUUAUUAUUAUCUGCAAGCAAUCACUGUUAAUAUCAUUUCCCUUUUCAAAGUUUUUGCUAAAUGAAGCAUAUUGUUCUUCAAUACUCUGAUAGAAACAGCAGGAGCUAAUAACAACUGUUCUAGUAGCUCUGAAAAUACUCCAAGACCACGAUCCAGCAAGGACACAAUGCAAGCAAAUCCUGGCCAUUCAUUAAGAGGUAAGCGUUGUUACACACGUCUCCUGUUUCGCUUUCUUCUUUUUUUUUUUGUACCUUGCUUACCGUUUUUGUACUAAACAGCUCCUCCUUCUUCGUUUCAGUUUUGCCGGACUUUGGCCAAGUAUACAGCUUCAUUGGAAGUGUUUUUGACCCAUAUGCAAGUAAUCAUCUACAGAAGCUGAAGAAGAUGGACCCCAUAGAGGUUGAAACAGUAUGAUUCUUGUCUCUCCAGUUUUACAUUAAUCUUAAUGGAAGCCACGUCGGCUCAAAUGGAACCUAAUGAUAAAAUCUAAUCGUUGUUUUAUUUGGUUCCCCCACACUACAGGUGCUACUGUUGAUGAGAAAUCUAUCAAUCAACUUGUCUAGCCCUGAUUUUGAGGUUCAUGUAAGUAUAUCUUCCUUCACAAACUCCUGUUAGACAAUUUUUACUAGAAACCCUCCCCUAUUUCAGAACUAACCUCAAAACUCUUAAUGAUUUCAAAACAACAGAGACGGCUUCUUUCGUCGUAUGAUAUCGGCUUUGAGACAGCAACUGAUCAUGGUGGAGUGUUUAAAACCUUAAACAAAGAACCACCAGAAAUCUCUACUUGAAGUUCAUUAAAAAGGGGGGGGGGGGAAGGUAAUGAUGAAAUGUCUCAGGUGAGCAAAACCCAUAUUGGUUAACAGAAUACAGAGUGAUUCUGUUGUGGGUUUUGUUUGUAAAUAUGAAGAAGAUGAAGCUGGCGUUGAGCAGUUAUAUAUACGUCUUUUGGAUUAUAUGCAUAGUGUAGUAUCUUUUAAUAAGUUAAAAAAAAAAGUACUGUUCGUCUUCUGUCUACGUGUUUUGGAGCUUUUGUUAAAGCAUGUGACAGUUCUGUGAUGGAGACCAGAACUGUUGACGUGUUCCCUUGCAUUAUAUUUUAGUGUAAUAUGAGACCGAAGAAACAACACAACCUUUUUAAAAGGACAAAAUUUGGGUUCAAUUCACCGCUAUCUCGUAAACAAUUAAAAUGUCAGCUAGAUUAUAAAUAAAAAUAUUAUUUAAAAAAAAAAAACAAAAAUAAUUAAAAAGAGUGAUGCCACUAACAAAACUUUAAAUCUUAAAUUCUAAACCUUGAAUUCUAAACCUUAAAUCCUAAAUUCUAAACUUAAACUCUAAACCCAAAAUCUUAAACCCAAAUUCUAAACCCUAAAUCAUAAACUCAAACUCUAAACCCGAAAUCCUAAACCCAAACUCUAGAUCAUAAACUCAAACCCUAUACUCUAAACCAUAAACUCUAAAACCAAACCCUAUAUCUUAAACUUGAAUCAUAGACCCUAAACCCAAAAUGUUUGAAUUUGGGUUUAAAGUUUACAAUUUGGGGUUUAGAGUUUAGAUUUUAGGGUUUUGUUAGACGUUAUUCUUUUUUUCAACUAUUUUAAUUUUUUAAAUAAAAUUUAAUAUUUUCUAUCACUUAUUUAGGUCGCAAUUUAAUUGGUUAUAGAAGGGAUGGUGAAUUUUAAAAAAAAAUCGGGGGAGGGGUGGGGAUGAACGUAAGUUUUGUACUUUUUAAAAUCAGGUGUACAUGAUUUACGGAUAUGGUUCUUUCACAUAUUAAUAAUACUGCCCAUUUCCAAAGUAAUUUCGAUAUACCAAGUUUCUUUUAGCGUGACAGCCGGUUGUCUCCCUGCUUGUUUUAACCAUUGGUGUGUUGGUGAAAUUGUAUAUACGUAGAUAUAGAUGAUAACUACUUUCAUAUCUUAAAGGCCCAUAUUUAUAAUUUCACAGUCCAUUAAAAGCCCAUACAAGUAUAUAAAUUCAUCGUUCUUAAGAAAGAACGAACCCUAGCUUCUUUACACUGCGUCUCUCCCACCAAUACAAUGGUACAUUUGAGCUCUCCUUUCGAUCUAUCGCGUCAUGUGUUUAUGGAUGAAUUGUAACAAUUUUAGUCUACCUUGUGGUUUCAGAUCAUCUCAGAGGAAAACCGCAGAGAGAUCUGCAAGUACCUUUUCAAAGGUUCGCUCCUUCGUAUCUCUCUAUUGCCUAGAUGUCUAUAUCAGUAUUACUCGUGACUACUUUAGCUUCUGCUAUUGGAGGAUUAAACGGUGUUACGAACUAGACCAUUCUUAGUGUCAUUUCAACCUUUUUAGUGUGAUCUAAAAACGAGCUUAUAUCUAGUCAAGUUCCAAACUCUUGUUAUAGUUUAGAACUCUGGAAUUCAAGUUCAAGCUUCUAAUACAUUUUAGACAAAUCCACUGCUGAAACUGCAUUGAUGUCUGAAUGUCUGAGUUUGUGUAAUUCAGUUUUUUAUAACUUGUCUUGAGUCCUUGACCUUAUUAGAAGAUAGGGUUGUGUUUGAUGGAACAUAUUUGAAUGUGGGUUCUGCAGAAGGAGUUUGCUUUGCGAAGAAGGAUUUCAAUCUCGCAAAGCAUCCGUUGAUUGAGUCAGUACCGAACCUGCAAGUGAUCAAGCUCAUGCAGCAUUUCAAAUCCAAGGAGUAUGUUAGGGAGACAUUUGCUUGGAUGCAUUAUUACUGGUUUCUCACCAACGAAGGGAUUGAGUUCUUGAGAACUUACCUUAACCUUCCUUCUGAUGUUGUUCCUGCUACCUUGAAGAAGUCUGCCAAGCCUAUCGGUCGUCCUUUUGGUGGCCCACCUGGUGACCGCCCAAGGUGAUUUCACUAUUUUCUUACCUCAUUACCUAAAUGAGCUUUGAUGAUGACUUAGUUUGUGGUUUCUUGUUGGUAUUUCAGAGGACCCCGCUUUGAAGGAGCAGACCGUCCCAGAUAUGGUGACCGUGAUGGGUACCGUGCAGGUCCUCGUGGUGGUGAAGGCGAAAAGGGUGGAGCUCCAGCUGAUUACCAGCCAUCUUUCCAAGUAAAAUCUCUUCAUUUUAUCAUUCAUUCCCCUUUUGCCUUUAUUUGCUCAAAAUGUAGUUUUUAGAUGAUUUUUGGCAUACAACUCUGAACCUGCUAUACCGGUUAACCUUUCCGGCUCUCAUCCGUUCUUGAUAAUUUGUAGUAACAACGUCUUGAUAUCUGAUACUUCUUAACCUAUUAACCAUUUCAAAGUCUCUUAGUUAUAUCAUGCACAUAGCUUAUGUUGUGAUUUUACCCUAUCUUGGAUUGUUUGCCACUGUUUUGACACUUUUUGUGGUUUGUUUUGUACAGGGAAGUGGCGGCAGGCCUGGUUUUGGCCGUGGUGCUGGAGGUUACGGCGCAGCUGCACCAUCUGGUUCAGGUCUCCCUUGAAGAAGAAAUGUUUUUAGUUGACAGUAAGAGAGACCCUGGAGGACUUGUUUCAGCUUUUAAAUUUUGCUUUUGUAAUCCAAAUUCCACAAUUCUUCAUAAUCUGUUUGAAUUCAGUUUUAUUGUUGCCUAGCAAAAAUGAAAAUUUCGAAAAAGUUGCGUUUCCCCCGUCUUCUCAGUCCCCGUGAGGAUAAUAAAAUGAGAAAAUACUAUUCACCAAUUUAACAAAUCAAAUUGUCUAUGUUCAUUAGCGUUAUUCUUCGAAUGAACAGUGGUUCUAUUUUGCGCUGAACUAACAGGUUCAGCGGCGGUCUUGCUGAAAGUGAAUCUAACUUUGGUUUGUUAUUGAUGGUUCACUGUACUUGAAGUCUUCGUUUCCAAGAUUUUAGUUGCAGCAUGAUAAACAUGCUAAUAGCUUGAUACGUUUUAGGUAUCAAUUGUAAUCAAAAACAGAGAUAAUAAGAAAAGCUUAGUUAUAUUGAUUUUUACUUAGGAAUUACAGAGGAAACGAUUACAGAUCAAGAGGUAUCUCACAUUCUCCACUCUCUGAAAUCACUCAAACUCUCCCCAACUUUACUGAGUUACUUUGCCACUUCUAAUCCUUAUCUUUUAACCAUUUCAUCCUUAAAGAUCACCACUUGUAUCAUAGCUCUACGGCAAUUGUUCCCUCCUUUGCUUGUGUAGUUGUGUUGGUUCUUUAGUAUCAGUUGUUUUCAGUUUGGAGAAAAGCGAUUGCUAGUGAACAAACAAACUCACUUAGCUCUUAGCCGACUAUUCACUUGAAAAGGACAAUAAUACAAACAGACGCACCAGACACGAAAAAAAAGAAAGACGCUUACAAACCAACAAAAGUUCAGACGACCAUGGGAAGACACCAAGACAAAAGACACUAGAACUCUUAAUACUCAAAACGACCAAACAUAAGGCGAGAUUUGGUUCUCUUAGUCGACUUCCUCCAUUUUGCUCUCUUCAGCAGCAUCCUCCUCCAGCGCAGGCAUGUCACCAUCUUCCUCAACAUUCUCGUCCUCAUCGAUACUCAGACCCAGCUUCAACAUCCUGUGAAUCCUAGCUGCAAACGUGUUCGGCUCAUCGAGACUGAAUCCAGAUGUCAACAGAGCUGUCUCGAACAGCAACAUCACCAGAUCUUUGACAGACUUGUCGUUCUUGUCCACCUCAGCUCUCUUCCUCAACUCCUCCAUUAUUCCAUUAUCCGGGUUGAUCUCCAUGGUCUUCUUGCUCGACAUGUAGCCGCUCAUGCUGCUAUCCCUCAGAGCCUGAGCCUUCAUAAUCCUCUCCAUGUUCGCAGUCCAUCCAUACUCACCAGUCACAAGACAGCACGGAGAAUCAACGAUUCUGUCUGAGACCACAACCUUCUCAACCUUGUCACCGAGAAUGUCCUUAAUCGUCUUGCAGAGGUUCUCGAAUGACUUCUUCUUCUCUUCCUUCUUUUUCUUCUCUUCUUCCGUCUCAUCUUCAAGUUUUAACCCUUCCUUUGUUGCAGACACGAGUUUCUUUCCAUCGUACUCCUUCAACUGUCCAACAGCGUACUCAUCGAUCGCAUCAACCAUGUAAAGCACUUCGUACCCUCUCUUCUUCAGCUUCUCCAAAAAUGGAGAAUUCUCUACGGCCUUCUUGCUUUCACCAGUGAUGUAGAAGAUGUCCUUUUGACCUUCCUUCAUCCUUGUGACGUAGUCUUUCAAGCUCGUCAUCUCAUCACCGCUCUUUGUGGAGUGGUAGCGAAGAAGAUCAGCAAUCUUUGACCUGUUCUGACUGUCCUCGUGGAUACCCAAUUUCAGAUUCUUGGAGAACGCCUCGUAGAAUUUGUUGUAGUCCUCUUUGUUCUCGGCAAUCUCGUUGAACAUCUCCAGGCACUUCUUCACCAGGUUCUUCCUGAUCACCUUAAGGAUCUUGUUCUGCUGGAGAGUCUCACGGGAGAUGUUGAGUGGUAAGUCAUCAGAGUCAACAACACCUUUCACGAAACUGAGGUACUCUGGUAUUAACUCUUCACAGUUGUCCAUAAUGAACACCCUCCUGACAUACAACUUGAUGUUGUUCAGCUUCUUUCUGGUGUCAAAGAGAUCGAACGGAGCUCUCUUUGGAACAAAGAGAAUCGCCUUGAAUUCAAGCUGCCCCUCCACUGAGAAGUGCUUCACGGCAAGAUGAUCCUCCCAGUCGUUGGUCAGGCUCUUGUAGAACGAGGCAUACUCAUCCUUGCUAAUCUCUUCUGGCUUCCUCAACCAGAUUGGUUUCUGCUUGUUGAUGAGUUCCCACUCGUGAGACACUUCCUUGAUCUUCUUCUUCUUUUUACCGUCCUUCUCCUUCUCCUCAUCAACUUCUUCAACCUCGCCUUCAGUUUCUUUCUUUGCUUCGUCCUCAUCCUCAUCAUCACUAAUCUCCUUCUCAGUUGUUUUCUCAGUCCAGAGGUAAAUCGGGUAACUGAUGAACUCAGAGUGCUUCUUCACCAAGUCCUUGAGUCUCCUCUCCUCCAGAUAUUCAAGCUGCACAAACAGACACUCUCUCAUAAGAACACAACACAACACACAACAAUCAAAACACUAAUCCUGAAAUUUUCGACUGUGACUUCAUUACCUGAUCCUCUUUAAGGAAGAGAGUGAUCUUAGUUCCUCUACCAAGUGGUUCACCAUCCACAUCCCGUGUAACAGUGAAGGAACCACCAGCUUGAGACUCCCAUACAUACUGCUCAUCAUCAUUGUGCUUGGUGGUGACGAUAACCUUCUCAGCAACAAGAUAAGCAGAGUAGAAACCAACACCAAACUGACCAAUCAUGCUAACAUCAGCACCAGCUUGGAGUGCUUCCAUAAACUCCUUGGUACCAGAUCUCGCAAUGGUCCCCAAGUUGUUCACCAGAUCUGCCAAGUAACAAAGGAGUAAAAAACAAGAAACACUAAAACCUCAGUGAGAAUAAAAAGAAAAUAACGGAUGAGAAUGCAUUACCUGCUUUGGUCAUGCCAAUGCCACUGUCGAUGAUAGAGAGCGUCUUGUUGGCCUUGUCUGGGACCAACCUAAUGAAGAGCUCAGGCUGCCCAUCCAGCUUGCUCUUAUCCGUCAAGCUCUCAAAUCGGAUCUUGUCAAGAGCCUAAAAUUUUUCACAGUAGAGUAUUUAAUAUGUCAUGAUACCUACAGAUAAUCAAUCUGGGGCGAGGAUGAUCUAUUAUAGUAUUCAAACAUUAUUAGCAAGCAAGAUCGAGAGAUCGAUUCUAUUCCUAAUUAAACUACCUUGAGGACGCAAGACCUAUACGCACAGAUUAGCUAAACCUAAUAAGCAGGAGAAUAAGAAGCAGAGGAGAGGUUUACGGAGGAGGACGUACAUCAGAAGAGUUACUGAUGAGCUCACGGAGGAAGAUCUCCUUGUUGCUGUAGAAAGUGUUGAUGAUCAAGCUGAGAAGCUGGUUGAUUUCAGCCUGGAAGGCGAAGGUCUCUGCGUCAGCCAUCUGAACUUCCGCCAUCGAAGAGAUUGCUGUAGAAAACUUCAAGAGAGCGCUUCGAGAGAUUUUGAUGAUUCUAUCUUAAGCAGGCAAGGAGGAACGAAGCACAAUAUGUAUUUAUAUUAGGGGCGAUAAGUUCUAGUCUCUUCUUUUGAAUGCGAGGAAACCAGUGGAUUCUCGAUUGUUCCAUGAAACGACGUCGCUCUUGCUAAGCAUCCACAUCCUCCUGAAGCAACCGUUUUUUCUAAGCAUCCACCCUAGGUGUCUUUGUGAGCAACGAAUUCCAGAAGAAUCUUUUGUUUGUUUCCGUUUUUUCAAACCUGACUCGUCCGGUGUUAUAACCGGAAAAGAAAUUAGUUUCGGUUUGAGAAAUUUCGCCUGUUCAAUUUUUUUUUACAUUUAUUUGCCUUAUAAAAGUUUUUUGGUUUGUAGUUAUAAAACCCAAUUUUUUUGGGUUUGUAGUUAUAAAAUGAAUAAACAACCGAAUAAGAAAUAUAAAAUGUUUUAAAUUUUAAUUUCCAUCUAAAAACUUUAACUUAUGUUCAGCUAAAAAUAAUAUUAGCUUUCAUUAUUUACAUUUUGCUAUUUUAUCAGAAAUUAUAUGAUUAUCUUACCAUUUAAAAGUUUAUCAUGAAUAUGUAACUGUUUUACCUUUAAAAAAAAAUUGGUUCUACCUUUAUUAUUUUAAUAAGUAGAAUAAUUUUUUUAUAACAUACAAAUUAUGAAUUAUUUUUUGUUUAUAUUCAUUGGUAUUUUUUUUUCUUUUUGCCACACAAUCAAACAAUAAGUAAAAAGGGGAUAUGAGCUCCAUUGAGCUUACCCACUCCAUUGAGCCUAUCCACGCCGACUUAAAAAAUCGACCAAUAGAAAAGUUUUUUCUUGCCACAUCAGAUCAGUCUAAUUCCCAGCCCAAAACCUAUUUCGUGUUAAGUUUUGCGGCUCUCUCCCCCUCGAUUCUUCCACUUCAUCUUCUCUGGCUACGAUUUCUUGCUUUACCAACUCCUGAUCAUCAAUGAUAAUUUUUAAACUCUUCUUCAAUAUUCCUUUCACCUUCCCUUGAUCCUUCUCCUAUUUAAAGGCCAUGUCUAAACCUAAAUCUUUCCAAAAUCAAAACCUAUUCUGAAGAAACUACAUCUAUGGCCAUGAAAUCAACCAGGAAAAUGUAAGCUCUCCACCGGAAAGUCUCAAGUCGCUGUUUAUUUCAAUGACGUCUACCAGCUCAAUCAGAUCGAUCAUGUGAGUUUGAUCUUAUCCAAAGUCUCAAUUUCUAUUGUUCUUCAGGGAACUGAUGUAUUUUAUUUUCAGUUAAUUUCUAGGUUAUAUUGAUAUGGUUUUAAUUUGUUUUAAGCUCUGUUUCAUGUUGUAGUUUUCUGUAUUCUCAAAAAUGUUAAGAAAGAAAAAGCGUUACUUUAAGCUGCUAGAGCUUCAAGAACAGGGAAUCAAGAUGCUAUUGAUGCUGAUGUGGUUGGAAUACUUGCUGACCCCAAAGAGGCAAGAGCUGGUAUUAGAGAGAUUCACUUCUUCCGGUUCAAUCCCAUCGACAUAUAUCUCGAUGGUAAUGGAGCUGGCACCGAGUAAGCAAAAGGGGGCUCCAAAGCAGGUACCUAAGAACUCAUUUUGUUUGACCUCUUUUAAAUUUUAGAAUUGUUUCUUCUCUUCAAUGAUUUAACCUUUUGAAACCCUUUUUCUUUUGAUGAUUUUCAGAUUCAAGUUCUUCGCAACACAAAAGCUAAUCUAUAGAAAAAAGGCCACUUAGCAAAACAAAAAAAACGUACGCUCUGCAUGGACUGAGGUCAGUAGCUGUUGCAAGACAGACUGUACCUGAGAACCAACAAAUAAAAAAGCUCUGGUGGUCCAUGAGAAUUCGUUGGUGGGUUGUCUUUGUUUGAUCCUCCACUACAUGAUAGUGCAUACACCAUUAGAAGAGCUUCAGACAUCGGUGUCAACAUCAAUGAUCACUGGUUAAUAUCUAUCUACAUACUUUUAUCUUUGACUUCAAUCUUUCUUAUGUUGUAUUGGUUUUAUUAUAGGUGAUCAACUUGCUAUUUCCAAAGAGACUUGACGUAAGCUCGGUAUGGGAUCAAACAUGUAUCCAUAGCAUCAACUCCUCUACUUGGAUAAGAAAGCCAUCCAAGGGAGUUUAGGCAACUAAGUGACGUUUUUCUAAUCUCUUGAUUCCAAGUAAGUUUUAAGUAGUUCUACAAAUUCUUGAUAGCAAACCCCUCAGACAAAGUUAUCCUAAUCUUUUAAUUGUUCACU
rnacentral:lncRNA from 1 species